GACGAACGCUGGCGGCGUGCCUAAUACAUGCGAGUAGAACGCUGAAGGAGGAGCUUGCUUCUCCGGAUGAGUUGCGAACGGGUGAGUAACGCGUAGGUAACCUGCCUGGUAGCGGGGGAUAACUAUUGGAAACGAUAGCUAAUACCGCAUAACAGUAGAUAUCGCAUGAUAUCUGCUUGAAAGGUGCAAUUGCAUCACUACCAGAUGGACCUGCGUUGUAUUAGCUAGUUGGUGAGGUAACGGCUCACCAAGGCGACGAUACAUAGCCGACCUGAGAGGGUGGUCGGCCAAACUGGGACUGAGACACGGCCCAGACGCCUACGGGAGGCAGCAGUAGGGAAUCUUCGGCAAUGGACGGAAGUCUGACCGAGCAACGCCGCGUGAGUGAAGAAGGUUUUCGGAUCGUAAAGCUCUGUUGUAAGGGAAGAACGAGUGUGAGAGUGGAAAGUUCACACUGUGACGGUAUCUUACCAGAAAGGGACGGCUAACUACGUG
rnacentral:rRNA from 1 species